GAGGGGGGCUGCUCCUAGUACGAGAGGACCGGAGUGGACGCAUCACUGGUGUUCGGGUUGUCAUGCCAAUGGCACUGCCCGGUAGCUAAAUGCGGAAGAGAUAAGUGCUGAAAGCAUCUAAGCACGAAACUUGCCCCGAGAUGAGUUCUCCCUGACCCUUUAAGGGUCCUGAAGGAACGUUGAAGACGACGACGUUGAUAGGCCGGGUGUGUAAGCGCAGCGAUGCGUUGAGCUAACCGGUACUAAUGAACCGUGAGGCUUAACCUUACAACGCCGAAGGUGUUU
rnacentral:rRNA from 1 species